rnacentral:lncRNA from 1 species
UGUCUCUCAUGAAUAAAUAAAUAAAACCCUAAAAAAAAAAAGUUAAGAAAGAAAGAAUGAGUUUCCUUGUUUCAGUGAAAUCUAAGUGACAUGUUCAAGAACUUAGCAGCCAAAGUGGGUUUUCCACAAAUACAUGAAUGGUCACCUAUCAAAGCAAGCCCAUGUCUGUUUAGUCGGGGCGUUGUGCCCACUGAUCUAGCAAUGGUGCCGCUUCGGUACAAACACCCACAAUGUCAGCAGAGUUAAGUUCAGGCCAGAAGGACACUAUUCUGGUUAAUCAUCAUCUAGGACCCUUUUAAACAGUGUCACUUGGGAUAAUUUCAUAUGCACCCACCUUUUUGCUUAGCUAUCUGGAUACCCUGAUGGGUGGUUUCCCUUGCAUUUUCCUAAAUUUCUAAUUCCUUUUCUCUUUAAAGAACGGAUUCAUAUUGUUAAGUCUAUUUGACGGCUGUGUUUUAAUUAAAAAGUCUUGAUGAAAAUGUUUUCAUUAAACAUAUACUGGCAAGCUCUCAAAUUAUUUUGAGACAUUUCAGUCUUUGCUUUUCUGUUCCCAGUGCUGUCCCAGUCACCCUGUGGGGAUUCAACUGUGACUUCAGAUUCUUGUCAAGCAGACAUACCCACCAGCCGACGACAGAUGGAGGAGCCCUGCCAGCCACUGCUGAUCUCGGCCAAAUCCCGAAGAGCCACCAUUUCAAGAAGCUGGUCACCUUCCAAGAUGAAGGAGAUCAUGUUCAGAAUGGUAUGCUGGCUGCCUUCGCGCAUCAUUACAACAACCUGAUCACACUAAGAGGUUUGGCCUCCUGUCAUCUUAGUGAUAAAACUAAAAGACAGUCAAACUUCAUCACACUUUUCUUCCAAGGUAAACUGAUGAAUUGCAUAUCUUAUUGAAUACAAUAAAAACAAAGAAACAUGUCCAUGAUAAUGAUGCCAGUAUAGACUUUCUAUAUUCUUGCCAAUGGGAAACUAUUCUUGAAUUAGUACAUAGACUUGAUUGUAUUAUAUACCGCCUACUACAAGGUCAUCCCAUGCCAUUCUCCAACUAUUUAGAGAAAAAAAAAAAAAAAAACAAGAAAUUUUAAUAUAAAUGCGUGGAAAUGAAAAAAAUACUAAUUUUAAAAGAGAUAUCCAUCUAUUUUAGAUGAUAAACUUCAACUAUCACUGGACCUAUACCAACCAUGUUUUGAACAGAAAACCUUUGAUCAUUCAGAGCCUGGAAAUAAAAUUGUUCACACCCAGUUCCUAGAAUUAGAACUGCUACCCCUUUAAUUGUUCAUCCUGUAUUUAUAAAAUCAGCACUAUUGAUGGCUGCCUGCCACCUUCACAAGGCAAUUGUAAGAAACAGACCAAGACUCAUGCAAUAUUUCCCCUCAAUUCCUCAGCUUGCACAGGUUGUGGUGCUUUACUGGUAAACCUCAAAGUAACAUAAACAGACCUGUUCCCUCUACUCAUGCAAAGAAGCUGAUUACCUUUCAAGAACAGUAUAACAAAGUUUGGAGCCCCAUUCUUCCAUCCUCAAUGGGAAGCAUCAACUGUUAUGAUGGUUAGUUUGUCAGAGUUCAUUCCCAAGACUGUGGUAGGCUGUUUGCAGGCAAUGACUUCUGUGAAUAGAAUAGAAGGGAAGUAAAGAAAAAGAACUUGUUAGUUGUGGCAAACACUUCAGCUGGUCAGUCCUCAUGCCUUCUCCUUGUCCACCCUUCAAUGCAGAUACUGAAAAAGCAAAAUACUCCCUUUUCCAGCUGCCGUUGCUGCUCAGAGAGGCCAUAAUAUCUCCUCCUGCCCAAAUAGAUGUGAGGUAGAGGGACUCUGGGGAUAGAUUUUUGUUCCUGGGUAAAAGAAUACAAGUAUAUGAGAAGGUCUUUCUCUUGCCAUCUUGAUCGACACCCUACUUCUGCAGUCAUACAACGUCAUGUGAAGUCUUAUGGUCUGUAUGCAUGGCAACCACUUGGUGACUAGGAAGCAUCAAUCCUAAGGAUAAAAACUAAACUUUCUAGAGGUUGGAGCAAAAGGGAAGAAAGCAUGGUAUCCACAUGAUAUUGUCACUAGCCAAUCUCAAAACACCUACCUCUAAACCUCUUCUAAAUUUACAAUAAAUGUCCUUUCUUAAAAGGUAGAUUGUUCCACCCAGCUCUAGUAUUGUACAUCUAAAAGAACACAUACUGACUCAGAUUAAGCAUCAGGACCUAUAAAAUUAUAGGGAUUCUAAAAAUAUAACACAAAAGUAACUCAAGAACAAUGCAACAGUAACAGCCAAGUCCAUGAAUAACCAGUCUACCACAGCUUGUUAGUUCAUGGAAAUAUUUACCUGGCAGAGUUUGAACUAGCUGGAAAAACUCCAGGGCUCCUCAGCCUCCAGGUCAAUUUAGAAUGAAUGCCAGACUUCUUUGGAAGGAAUUUCAAAACGCCCCCUUCAUUGAGAAAGUGCCUACUUACCCUACAGGCACAGCCCCAAAGGCAAAGGAAAUCAUGAGAAUUGUUUUCUGUAUUUAUAUAGCAAAUACCUCUGGACAGAUUGACAAUUUCUUUUUUUUUUUUUUCAAUUUCUUUUUUUUUUUUUUUAAAUAAUAAUGACUCUUUGCCAUAUCCUAGAAGGGAGAUGGAAGAAUAAAGGAUAAUUGUUGCCAUUUUUGAAAGGAAAAGGUACAAAGAUCGUGAAAUUAAGUGAUUACCUAUAAACCACAAUCAGGAUGCAGCCCCAUGUAGACAGCCAGUGGGGUUAGAAUCCAGAAACUUCAAAUCCCAGUCUAGCCUCUGUCCCUUGGGCACCCUCUUUCCUGAUGACGCAGCAGACGCUUUGAUGAGUCACUCCAUUCUUUGAGCCUCCCAGAAGCUAGGCCAGGAUACAGAGAGAAAAACGGAUUAAAAAGGCAAAUCAAACCAGCUCAUUCAAAUUACUGUAAUUAAAGUACUCUAGUCAUUUUUUUACUCUUAAACAUUUAGAAUAAAAAAGACC